UUGACGGGGGCUCACACAAGCGGUGGAGGAUGUGGCUCAAUUCGAGGCUACGCGAAGAACCUUAUCCUAGUCUUGACAUGCUUUGGAAUCCUCCUGAAAGGGAGGAGUGCCGCAAGGAACCUUAGCACAGGUGCUGCAUGGCUGUCGUCAGCUCGUGUCGUGAGAUGUUCGGUUAAGUCCCUUAACGAGCGAAACCCUUGUCCUUAGUUGCCAGCGGGUCAUGCCGGGGACUCUAAGGAGACUGCCGUUGCUAAAACGGAGGAAGGUGGGGAUGACGUCAAGUCCUCAUGGCC
rnacentral:rRNA from 1 species